rnacentral:rRNA from 1 species
CCUACGGGAGGCAGCAGUAGGGAAUUUUGCGCAAUGGGGGAAACUCUGACGCAGCAACGCCGCGUGAUCGAUGAAGCCCUUCGGGGUGUAAAGAUCUGUCAGUGGGGACGAAACCUGACGGUACCCACAGAGGAAGCACCUGCUAACUCCGUGCCAGCAGCCGCGGUAAUACGGGGGGUGCAAGCGUUGUCCGGAAUCAUUGGGCGUAAAGAGUUCGUAGGUGGCACGUUAAGUCUGGUGUUAAAGGCGGAAGCUCAACUUCCGUAGGGCACUGGAUACUGGCGAGCUUGAGUGCGGUAGAGGUAAAGGGAAUUCCUGGUGUAGCGGUGAAAUGCGUAGAUAUCAGGAGGAACAUCGGUGGCGUAAGCGCUUCACUGGGCCGUAAUUGACACUGAGGAACGAAAGCCGGGGUAGCAAAUGGGAUUAGAUACCCGGGUAGUC